AUUGAACGCUGGCGGCAUGCUUUACACAUGCAAGUCGAACGGUAACAGGCCUUCGGGUGCUGACGAGUGGCGAACGGGUGAGUAAUGCAUCGGAACGUACCCAGAGGUGGGGGAUAACGCAGCGAAAGCUGUGCUAAUACCGCAUGUGAUCUGAGGAUGAAAGCGGGGGACCGAGCAGCAAUGUUUGGCCUCGCGCCUUUGGAGCGGCCGAUGUCGGAUUAGCUAGUUGGUGGGGUAAAGGCCUACCAAGGCGACGAUCCGUAGCUGGUCUGAGAGGACGACCAGCCACACUGGGACUGAGAUACGGCCCAGACUCCUACGGGAGGCAGCAGUGGGGAAUUUUGGACAAUGGGCGCAAGCCUGAUCCAGCAAUGCCGCGUGCGGGAAGAAGGCCUUCGGGUUGUAAACCGCUUUUGGCAGGAACGAAACGGUGUCCGCUAAUACCGGGCGCUAAUGACGGUACCUGCAGAAUAAGCACCGGCUAACUACGUG
rnacentral:rRNA from 1 species